CACCCCACUCUGUGUUCAGUGUUUUGCCUUUCCUGCGAGCAUUUCACCCUCUCUGUUCUCUCCAACUCCCCCAUUUGAUACCUUACUCUCUCGCUCUCUUCAUCUCCCUCACUCAUCCCUCUCUAUGUGCUCCCUCUCUUUCUCUGUUUCUCUCUCAUUCUCGGUUUCGCUCUCUCGCCCUCAGCCUCUCGGUCUCUCCUUCUCCAGGCAUCAUGGAGAAGUCAAGUGGAGCCACCCGUCUUCCUGUGCCAGAGUCGCAGUCACCACCUGUCCUCCGUGGAGACAUUCUGGUGACAAGUGACGUCACGGACGCUAUUGGGGUUCUCCCUGAUGCAGGAAGGAGAGGUGUCAUAGGCCAGCUGUCCUCCUGACCCUUACCAACGAAGAUAAAGAGAGCUAUGAAAGCCUGUCUACAUAUGAAGAGGUCCCAAUGAAGAGCAGUGGUUCUCAGGCCUGGUCCUGGGGACUCAAAGAGAUACCUUGUAACUGGAGAUUCCUUCAAAACGAUUGCCUACAGUUAACGUGUAGGGCACUGCAAGGAUGGGUGACCAGGGUCAUCUGGGACUGCCUCCUGGAGGAAUUCAGGUGUGUGAAGGCUACCUGUGUCCUGCAUAACUUAAUGAGGAGAGACACGAGGACCAGGAGGGGAUCUGCAGCUCGCCACCGUGUGCCAGAGGAGGAGUCUGCUGCUCUGCAGGAUGUUUCAAGGAUGGGGUCCAACAACGCAGCAAGAGAGGCAAUCCGUGUGCGGAAGAUCUUCACCUCCUACUUCUUCGAAGAGGGUGCUGUUCCCUGGUAACAACAUAGACUAGACUAUGCACAAUCAACGGCUCUUUAAGAGCCAUUCACAUUGCAAUAAGAGUAUUCUUUCAUUUACUUAGCUAUGUCAACUGCAGUUAUUCAAUUCCCAGUUUCUACUUCUCCGGUGAGGGUGCUGUUUAGGUAAGGUUGUGAUGUCUGUACAAAAACAAAACUGGCUAUUUUAAAUCACCCAUAUUUUUUUUAUUUUUAGAACAAUUAGACACCCUGUAACCCAUACCUACACACUCAUAUAUCAAUUUAAUUGAUGGAUUGUGUUGUGCAGUAAUCAGGCUCAGGUGUAUAAAUGUGGCUCCUUCCACCUUCAAAGAAUAGGCAAGAGGGCCAACCAUGGAGAAUAGUAAGACGAUUCAUUAUUUCUAUAACUACGCUAUAUUGUUUGUCCUCGAGUGUCCGUUCAUGUUUUUCAGCAUAAAGUACUCUGCAGCCACUUAGUGUGAUGUGGACACCAGGUGAGACCACACACACAGGUUCCUGUUGAACUCAUUUACCCAAUAACAGUCUCUCUCCUUCACUUCCUCCUCUUCUCCCUAAAUCCUCUAGGUUAUAUCAGCUGAGUCGGUGAACCGCUCCCACAUCUGAACUGGCUACAGAGGGCAGUCACUUGGUCAGGUCAACAGGAAGUAUUAUUAAAGAGAUGCUUUACAUUGAAAUACAGAUAGAGAUGCAGUAGUCCCAGAGUUAAUGAUCCAAGGUCAGUUUUGCAUUUCACCUCCUGAUGAUUAUGAUGACUAAUGAUGUUAGAAUAAAAAAUAAAAGCAAAAGGUUUAAACAUGCUCUGUCUCUCAUCUGCAGAUAUGUUUUGAUGUGAGAGAGGAUGCCAACCCCCAGGCCCAUCAUCGCCACCUCACCCAUAAUGCAAUUGUAAUGAACAGAGAAUAUUUGGGUAGCACUGUGAUUCAUUAAUCAUAUGCCGUCUUCCUGCUCCUCUGUUCUUACCCAUUUCCCUUUGUCUUUUACACCUCUCUCGCCACCUCUUUCUGCCUCUGUUUUCAUAAUGCACAACAGAUAAGCAUUGAAGUACAGACUGAACUUGUAUUUAUAAUAUUACAAUUAUAAUAUUUAUAAUGCAUGUAUUUAUAACACUUGGAUAAUGAACUUCUUUCAAUAAAGCGUUUCACAUUCUCUACUGAGGAGGCAGGUAGCCUAGUGGUUAGUGUUGGACUAGUAACCGAAAGGGUGCAAGAUCGAAUCCCUGAGCUGACAAGUUAAAAAUCUGUUGUUCUGCCCCUGAGCAAGGCAGUUAACCCACGGUUCCUAGGCAGUCAUUGAAAAUAAGAAUUUGUUCUUAACUGACUUGCCUAGUUAAAUAAAGGUAACAUUUAAAAAUAAUACUACAUCUAUCCGGUGUUUAUCAGAUCAAUGCAGAUGAAGGGCAUUAGAUAAUGAGAUGAACCGUUUUUAGACUAUAUACAUUGUCAUGACGUUGCCCUCUUUGGGUACAGCAAGCACCAUCCUCCUCUCCCUGCCUCCCUCUGCUCCUUCAACCAGGCUGCUGUUGUCUGUGAGGUCGUAAAUUCCUCGAAGAGAUUAUCUCCUCAUUGACACAGUAUAAGAGACAGAGUGAAUUUUCAUAGAGAACAAAGGAAUUUCUUCCACCUCACAGAACUUGAGGUCCGAACAAAUGUCAUGUUCCGGAGAAGGUAUAAAAGAUCGGUGAAGAAUCCAGCUACGAACUGGUCCAUUUGUUACAACUUGGGGAAGCUCAUGGAAGACGGUGCGGCCACAUUACCAUAACGAUGUUUAUAUAAUUGUUGUAUAAGAUGAAUGAGUGAGGAUGAUACUGUUUGUAAAAUUGUGUAAUGUGAUUUUGGACUGAUUAAUGAAGGAAACUCCAAUUCCCUUUUGAGUUGAACUAAAUCAGAGGACCGCCCAUGAGCCCAGUUAGGAUCAGGCAUCCUGGGACAGCCCCGUUUCUGCAAUUCCGAAUAAAACCCAACUUUGAGAAAUUCUAAGUAGACCAUGUUUCCCUCAAUUACGAGUACAAAGGUUGCAGACCAGACUGCUGAAUCUUUAAACCAUACCACGUGGUUAAAAUCUUAGACUAUCGAUACCGACAGAAUAAGAACAAGUCUUUGAUAUUAUUUACUAGUCUGCAGCUAGGAAUUCGGUAUCAUUGAACACGAAGAACGACAACCGCCGAAACACCCAUUCUAUAACAACAUGAAUGAAUGUCACUCUGAACAAUCCACUAUAACCACGACAGAGAGAGAGAGAGAGAGAGAGAGACGAACAAUUCUACAAAAGAAACAAACUUCUCAACAGCGACCAAGACAACACACUGAGCAUAAAUACAGUGGGGAGAACAAGUAUUUGAUACACUGCGGAUUUUGCAGGUUUUCCUACUUACAAAGCAUGUAGAGUUCUGUAAUUUUUAUCAAAGGUACACUUCAACUGUGAGAGACGGA